rnacentral:rRNA from 1 species
UACGUAGGGUGCAAGCGUUAUCCGGAAUUAUUGGGCGUAAAGAGCUCGUAGGCGGUUUGUCGCGUCUGCUGUGAAAACUGGGGGGCUCAACCCCCAGCCUGCAGUGGGUACGGGCAGACUAGAGUGCGGUAGGGGGAGAUUGGAAUUCCUGGUGUAGCGGUGGAAUGCGCAGAUAUCAGGAGGAACACCGGUGGCGAAGGCGGGUCUCUGGGCCGUAACUGACGCUGAGGAGCGAAAGCGUGGGGAGCGAACAGG